CACACCACUGCACUCCAGCCUGGGCAACAAGAGUGAAACUCUGUCUCAAAAAAAAAAAAGUGCAGAUUUCUGCAUCUCACCCCUAAACUUUUUAUUUGGCAAGUCUGAGAUGGAGUCCUAGACUUUACAUCUUUAACAAGUGCCUCAGGUGAUUCAAUGCAGGCAGUCCUUGGACCGCAUUUUGAGAAAUGCUGAGCUGUUGAAUGGAAGGGGCUUAGUGUGGGUGAGGGCUGGGAAGGUCAGGAUGAAGGGUCAGCUAGAUCCUAAUGUUCUCUCCUGGAAGAUGAGGUUUCAUUUAUUAUUACUGUUCUCACAAUCUGGCUUUAGUUAAAUACCAGAUUUCUGAGCAUCAUUAGAAAGCAGAGUCUGAGUUGGCAGUAGGCAUGUAGGAAGGAGAAAUGCUGAAAAAGGUUGUAGCUAUGAAGGGCUAAGUUGGGUGACCUUGGAGGACCUUUUUAUUUAUUUUUGAGACAGGGUCUCACUCUGUCAUCCAAACCGGAGUGCAGUGGCAUGAUCAUAGCUCACUGCAGCCUCCACCUCCUAGGUUCAAGUGAUCCUCUCACUUCAGCUUCCUAAGUAGCUGAGACUACAGGUACACACCACCACGCCUGGCUAAUUUUUUUGGUAUAUUACCCAGGCGCUUUUUAAGAAGAAGCUGUUCUAGUUUCCUGUGGCUACUAUACCAAAUUACAUAAAUCGGAUGGCUUAAAAACAACAGAAAUGUAUUCUUUCACAGUUCUGGAGGCCAGACAUCUGAAAUCAGUAACACUUAGGUUAAUUCAAGGUGUCAGCAGGGCCGAGCUCCCUUCAGAGGCUCCACGAGGGAUUUAUUCCCUGCCUCUUCCAGCUUCUGGUGGCUUGUGAUCACAUCACCCAAAUCUUUAAAGCCAACAUUUUCAAAUCUCUCUGUUCCAUCUUUACAUCACCCUCUCCUCUGUGUAUAUGAAGUCUACCUCUGUCUCCUUUCUGUAAGGAUACAUGUGAUUGCAUUCAGGGACCACCCAGAUAAUCCAGGAUCCUCUCCACAUCUCAAGAGCUGUACUUUAAUCACAUCUGCAAACGCUUUGCCAAAAGAGGAAACAUUCACAGGUUCCAGGGAAUAGGACGUGGGUCUUUUGGGGGGCCCUUUUUCAGCCUAUCACAGAACCUUUACUGAAUCUGCUUUUUUGAAUUCUACAUAACAAGCUAAAAAAGUAACCACUCUGUUUAAGCCCUUUGGGAGCCCUCAUUGCCUCCCCAUUGAUGGAUUAGGUAAGGACAUGAUCUAACCUUGGCCAAGAGCACCUGAGAUGGGGUCUCAGGGCUUCCAGAGAUGGUUGCCCUUUCUCAUGGAUAUUGUUGGCCCCACACAUGAUGCCUGUAUGAGACUCAUCGAGUUUCCAACUCUUCUAGCCCAGGAGUUGCCUGCCUUACACUGCCCUGGAUUGUGUGACAAAGAGUUUAAGCCACUUCAAUCCUGGGGUUCCUGCUCAUUGCAUGGGAUGGAUUGAGAACAGUAUCAGGCACUGCUCGCCUUAAGCACCAAGUGCAGGAGCCACCUGUGCUCCCAAGGCGUGUGCUUCAGUUGGUGCUUUGUCACAGUCAUUUACUGGUGAUAGUUUAAUAGAGAAGGGAAGGCUUUUGUGGGGAGUCCUGACUUUGCUUCAGAAAGGACAGCAGAAUGGUAAGGAAUAGGUCAAAAUUCAGGUAUGGUCUCAUUUGCAUUGUUGCCCAAGAGCUUCCUGGAAAGAGUACAGAGCUCUGUGGGCCAAGUCUUGUGGCCUAGAUAUCAUGACUACAUGUUGGGCCUAGAGCUCAGCCUGAGGGACCAUAGUUGUCGUGACAGCCUCCAGUAGUUCCUGGAGCAGCAAGAAUAAGGUCUCUUGUUUACAGAGGUUGUCCCACACUCCUCAGCAGUGUUGAGAAGAGGUUGUCUCCAGCACCUCCCUAGGAGACUGGUCUCAAAAGUCUAGAAACCAGUAAUCAGAUGUCACUCACUGUAGGAUACAAGUGGAAUGAUAUUCUACUAGGAAACAAGCAUUUCUAAAAAAAUUACAAAAAUGUAAACUGGUAACUCUGAUAAAUGCUUAAAGGUGACAUCUCUGAUGGUGUCCAUCAAGACUAAGCUUGAUUCUCUCCAUUUGAAGACCUCUGGGUCAGUCCUCAAAUCUGUGUCCUGAGGGCUUAAGGUAAUCACAGCAAUCGGCCCUGACUUUUGAGUGGACAGAUCCUUAUCUUGUCUGCUCCUUUCCUUUUGUGCUGUUAUGACUAAUCUUUUUUUUUUUUUCCUUUGAAACAUGAUCUUACUCUGUCACCCAGGCUGGAGUACAGUGGUGCAAUCACAGCUCACUGCAGCCUCAACCUCCUGGGCUCCAGCCAUCCUCCCACCUCAGCCUCCCAAGUAGCUGGGAGUGCACCAGCGUACCCAGCUAAUCUUUGUAAUUUUUGUAAAGAUGGGAUUUUGCCAUGUUGUCAUGCUGGUCUCGAAUUUCUAGGCUCAAGUAGUCCUCCUGCCUCAGCCUCACAAAGUGCUGGGAUUACAGGUAUGAGCCACCCCACCCGGCCAUGACUAAUCUUAAUAUGUCUAUUUUUGCUCAUUGUCACUGAGUGGACCUGGAGGCUGAGGGCUGGAAGAGCAACUGGAAUUGCUGUAGUGCCAAAUAUAUCCCCUUUCAUGUUGAUGCCACCCUGGCCAAGGUAUCAUUUUUGUGUGGCAGCCAGAGAAAUCUUUUCAAAAAGAAGGUGGAGCUCUAGUCCUGUGGCUGCCAGUUGUCUUCAGGUCCCGGCCUUUCCUGCCCCCAGGCUCAUCUCUAUCCAGGACUGCCUGGGAGUCCAGCUCCAGUCAAGUUCAGAGGUAACAAGCAACGUUAUUGUAGCUUUAUGUAAAAUAACCAGAAAGUAGAAAUGACCCAACUCUCUAUUGACAAGAAUGGAUCAACAUCCUGUUGCAUCCACGCAAUGGAAUCCUAGUGAGUAUUAAAGUAAUGACACAGGAAACCAUGUAGCUGAAUUUUAAAGCACUGGGUAAGUAAAGGAAGCCAGGCACAAAAGAUGAAAUACUUGAAGUUUUAUUUGUUUGACCUCCAGGAAAGGCAGUAGCACAAUGACAGAAGGCUGGGUCUGGGUCUGGGAGGGGGUCGAUUGCCAAGGGCAUGACACAACUUUUUGUGGUGAGGAAAUUCUUCUUCUUCUUCUUUUUUUUUUUUUUUGAAAUGGAGUCUCGCUCUGUCACCCAGGCUGGAGUGUAGUGGUGCGAUCUCGGCUCACUGCGACCUCCGCCUCACGGGUUCAAGUGAUUCUCCUGCCUCAGCCUCCCAAGUAGCUGGCAUUACAGGUAUGUGCCACCAAACCCAGCUAAUUUUUGUGUUUUUAGUGGAGACAGGGUUUCGCCAUGUUGGCCAGGCUGGUCUUGAACUCAUGACCUCAAGUGAUCCUCCCGCCUCAGCCUUCCAAAGUGCUGGGAUUACAAGCAUGAGCCAUUGCGCCUGGCUGGGGAAAUUAUUCUGUAACUUGAUUUCGGUGGUGGUUUUAUGAUUAUAUCCACUUAUUAAACUCAUUGAAUCAUACACUUAAGAAAGUAACCACUCUGAAAAGGAUAGUACUGAGUUUGAAAACCAGCAGUUUGAAAAAGAUGGUACCAAGGUUAAAAACCAAAUGCAGUAGAAUAUCCAAGUAUCCAGGAAGAGCACCUUCCUAAUGUGAUUGAUUUUAUGGAAAAGAAUAAGAGAAGAAUGGAGCAUGAUAAAGAAUUCAAACAUUAUUUUCCACAUUGGGGUCGCCAAAAUGAAUGGCUCGGUCUAGUGUAGGAGGCAGGUGCUACACAGGCUGACUUUCUAAUGAGGUCCAAAAAUCUUGUAUUUCACUCCAGCUAGAUUGUGAAAAUAGUAAUAGUAACACCAGGUCUUAGCCUGGGUUUCUCAGAAAGCGGAAGCUUAUGAGCUACCCCUUGAUUGGAGAGUGCAGCCACAGAAGCAGGAUGAGAGGAAAGAGGGGUAAAGCAGGGGAGGAGGGCUAGCAACAACUUAGUAUCAUAUGCAAAUGAUGCUUCACCUCAAAGGACUCUGCUGAGAAACCACAGGAACCCUAGGGGUAGGAAGGGAUCAGAAUUCAUCUACUGGCUUCUGCUUCCCAUAACCAAAAGUUAGCUCUGGGUGGGCACCAGCAACCCUGCCAUUGUGACCUGCACGACGUGAGUGCUUAGCAGGCUGCAGCAAGAAGACACUGGCUGCAGCCCACCAGAACUGGUUGUUCCAGUGGCGGCUGAGAUGGAACAAGUGGACUUGCCCCAGAGACAGGUGGAGCAGAGAGGAUCUGAGGUGGCACAUUAAGAGGGAUUAUAAAUAACGUGCAUAUUGACAGAGGUCAGUGGUAAGUACAGGUUGUCAGACAAAACAUGCAUGUCACUGGAUCAUUCUUAUCUAAAGGAUGCCCCCAAAAUGUCAGUACAGCCGGUAUAUGUGACAGUGAGACCAGCAACAUUUUCUAAGAUAGGGAGAGGGGCAGGUUCCUGGCCUGAAUUUUACCAAGAAGUCCACAGUUGUAGGUGAUAAUGUCUGAAUGAGUGAAGGUUGUAUCAGACCUUCUGGGCCCAUGAAGGUCUCCCUUCAGACCAGUCUAUAGAUUGAUCCAUCCAAUGAUCCAUCUACCUGCCCACACACCUACCCAUUGACCUACCCAGCCAUCCAUCCAUCAAUCCAUCCACCCAUCCAUCCAUGGCUGGAGCAACUGUUCUCAUAACUUUGUAGAUGGGUGUCUGAAACCACCUCAUCAGAGUCAGGUACACCUCACCAGUCUCAGAGCUCUAUCAUGUAAAAAUAUGAUCACAGGCCAUGCAGGUAUAAGCAGACUCCCCAGCCACCAACCUCAGACCUUAAGGAUGAGUACAGCCCAAUGCCAGAGCAUUCUUAAACUCAGGUGAGGAACCAGAACAGCAGUGAUUUUCUCAGCUGUCUCCAGGAGUCAUGCUAACAAGUCCUCUCACCUAUAUAAUAGGGGGUAUCCUGCACAAUUAUAAAUUAGUGUGGGAGUUUGAGGUCCAGGAUUCCAUCAUCCUUCCUUCUCUCCAGGUUUCUGACUGAGGAGAUGGGAAACAAUGUGUCUGUUAAUGUAUUAAUACCAGGACGAGGGUGCAAAGCUUUUGUUAAGAGCUGUAGUGGAGAAUGCAGUCAAGGUCAGAGGAUUGACACAAGUCCUCUAGUGUCUACCUUUAUUCCUCUUAAGUCUAAGAAUCCAGAGACCCCAUGAGGAUGGAUGAGAAGCUGGCACCAAGAGAAAGAAUGCCCAUCUGGGUGGCAAGGGCAGCUGGUCUUGUCACCCAGUAACAGAUGGACAGAGACCAUGUGGUGGCUACACAUUACCUUUCAACUCAGGGCCCUGCCUACCAAUGCAGGGUGGUCCAGGCACUGGCCAAUCAGAUUGCCCCCCACCAUGGGGAGGAGCAAAUACAGGACGACAGAGGUGGAGCAGGGGGCAGAGUGUUCCCUCUUCUUUGUCAUGGAGGAAGGGAGUUGGAUGGGAGUUCCAUCCUUUCCAUGAGUAGAGGGAAGUGAGGACUGAAGAAAGGAGCCCAGUGGUGGUGACAGCAGAGACAGUGGCAGAGCCAGGGUCCAUGGAUGGGCAAAGGAGCCCCUAGCCCACUCUGACAAUGGUCAGGGAGGGCUCCCUGGGGAGGAGGUAAAUGACCCGCACUCAAGCAGUUAGCUGCAGAGAGGACGGCUGGGCAUCUACACAGAAGGGACAGCGUGAUCAAAGGCAAGGAGAUGAGACACAGUGUAUGGGGACUGGCCAUAAUUUAGGCUUUCAGGAGCCUAUGGCCUGCAGCAGCCUGAGGCAGGAGAGGUAGGCUAAGUCGGAUCCUGAAGGGGCUUGCAGGCCACCCUGUGUGCCUAGAGAAUGAGGAGGGAAGGCCGGAGAGUGAUAGCAAAAAUCAAUCCUCUAAAUGUUACGGGGUUUUAUUUUUUAAAUGAAUUUGCAUGAUCCUGGAUCAGGAAAAAUCCAGCCUCUGAUCUCCUCUUUACCUGACACAUUCGUUGGUUCCUGUUUCUGCCCUCCUUGAUACACUGGAGAAUUGGGGGAGGGCCAGCAGGGGGCUUUCCACCCCUGAUAUUAGGCCAGUGGGAGGAGAGGCCGAGGAGCCAGCCCAGACCCCUGGAGGGGCAGGGGGCAGUCACUUGCAGUUCUCAGAGCCUCCACUGUAUGCUGAGCUCCAGUGCACUGUAUGCACUGAGGGCCUGUGGAAGUGGUCUUGGGGGAGAGUAGAGACAGGAACAAAUUGAACAGUACACCCAGCCCUGAAGUGUUACUUUCCUGUGGCUGCCACAAUAAAUUUGCACACGUUUAGUGGCUUAAAGCAACAUAGAUUUGUUAUCUUACAGUUCUAGAGGUCAGAAGGCUGAAAUGGGUCUCACUGGCUAGAAUCAAGGCGGCAGAGCUGGGCUCCUGCUGCAGGCUCUGUGGGGUAGUCUGCUCCUUUCUUUUUCCAGCUUCUAGAAGUGUCUGCUUUCCUUGAUCGAGGCUGUUGCAUCUUCAGCUCCAGCAGGCAGCAAGCACAUCUCCUCUGGCCUCUGCUUCUGCCAUCUCACCUCCUUCUCUGGCUCUCCUGCCUUCCUCUUCUGCUUUGAAGGACCCUUGUGAUUAGAUCGGGCCUGCCUGGAUAAUCCAGCACAGUCUCCCCUCUCAAGAUCCUUAAUUUAAUCAUAGCUGCACAGUCCCUUUUGUCCUGUAAGAGACAUCUUCACAGGUUUUGGGGAUUAGGACCAGACCGUCUUUGGAGGGGCAUCCUUCUGCCUGCCAUAUGUGACUUGGGGGCAUGCGGGAAAUGGCUGGAGCGUAACCACAAAGCAUACAGCAUGCAGCCAAGCAACAUGUGACAAGAUGAAUCCACAAGCGCUGGGGAGACAACCAGUGAGGAAGAAGCCCAGGAGACUUCUUGGAGGAAGCGAGUUUCAAACCAGAGACAGGAGCUCACCCUGUCACCUAGACUGGAGUGCAGUGGCACAGUCAUAAUUCACUGCAGCCUCAAUCUUCCAAGCUCAAGUGAUCCUCCUGCCUCAGCCUCCUGAGUAGCUGGGACCACAGACACUCACUACCAUACUCAGUUGGCCAGAAGUAGACAUAUCAUCUGUCAAACUGAAAGCAGUCUGGGAGCUACAGAGCAGCUGUGUGCUCAGGAAGAAGAGGACUGAGUUUGGUGGGCAUCUGGCCAGUUCCUGCCACCAUGCUGCUGGAUGAGAAAGCUGGAUGAAGUUCCUUAUUAAGGGCAAAUGAGUGAGUCUCCUGACUUGACUAGGUUUGUGCCUUCAGAGCUCUGUCUCCUGUGGUGAAUCACACACUCCAGCCAACAAUUCUGCCAUUCUUCAAAUCAUGCUUGGGAUUCCAUUUUUGGUACUCUCUUCAGAGCCUUUGAAUAUUCUAAUGAAUGGUAAAUUUUUAUCCUUUGAGAGUUCUUUUGAUUCCUAGAAGCACCAGAAAUCAUUUGGAACCAAGCCUGGGAAUAAGGGGACUGAUCAAGCUAAAUCACCUUUUUUGGGUCAAAAAUGAGAUGUGACCAUAAAGUAAACCAACUCUUGAGGCAAAUUCCAAAGAUGAGAUACCCACACAGCACAUUUUGAGGAUUGACUGUGUCACUGGAAUAAUUCUGUGAGGCUUCCCAAGGGGCUGAUUUGGAAGGAACAACAUUCAUUUACAUGCAGUCAUGUGCCGCAUGAUGACAUUUGGGUCAAUGACAGAACACAUAUAUGACAGGGGUCCCAUAAGAUUAUAUAAGAAAAUUCCUAUCACCUAGUGAUGUUAUAGCCAUUGUAAUGUCAUAACACAACACAUUACUCGUGCUUGUGGUGAUGCUGGUGUAAACAAACCCACUUCACUGCCAGUUGUAUAAAAGUAUAGCACAUAUUAAUACAAUUAUAUACAGUACAUAAUACUUGAUAAUAAACAACCAUGUUACUGGUUUAUAUAUUUAGUAUACUAUACUUUUUAUUGUUAUCUUAUUUUUUGUUUUUCUUUUCAUUUUUGAGAUGGAGUCUUGCUCUAUCACCCAGGAUGGAGUGCAGUGGCAUGAUCUUGGCUCACUACAACCUCCGCCUCCUGGGUUCAAGUGAUCCUCCCACCUCAGCUUCCCAAGUAGCUGGGAUUACAGGCGUGUACAACCACACCCAGCUAAUUUUGUUUUGUGUUUUUAAUAGAGACAGGGUUUCACCAUGUUGGCCAGGCUGGUCUCGAACUCCUGACCUCAAGUAAUCCACCUGCCUUGGCUUCCCAAAGUGCUGGGAUUACAGGUGUGAGCCACCACACUCAGCCUUUUUAUUGUUAUUUUAGAGUGUACACCUGCUACUAAUUAAAAAAGAGAAGUGGUGUAGAAAAAAGAAAAAUUAAAUAAAUCUGCUAAAAUCUCUUUUUAAAAUUUAAAGUAAACCUAAUCUGGUAUUUCCAGAUUAAAAAAAAAGAGUUAAGUGUAAAACAGCCUCAGGCAGGUCCUUCAGGAGGUAUUCUAGAAGAAGGCAUUGUUAUUACAGGAGAUGGCAGCUCCAUGUGUAUUAUUGCCCCUGAAGACCUGCCACUGGGGCAAGAUGUGGAGAUGGAAGACAGUGAUAGUGAUAAUCCUGACCCUGUGUAGAUCUAAUGUGUGUGUUUGUAUCUUUGUUUUUAACAAAAAAGCUUAAAAAGUAAAAACAAGUAAAAAAAUUUAAAAGUAGAAAAAAAUUAGAAAAUUAGAAAAAAAGUAGAAAAGUAGAAAAAAGCAGAAAUUAUAGAAUAAGGAAGUAAAGGAUAUAAAGAAAGAACAUCUUUUUGUAUAGCUAUACAAUGUGUUUGUGUUUUAGCUAAAUGUUAAUACAAAAGAGACAAAAAGUUAAAAAAAUUAAAGGUUUAUAAAGUAAAAAUGUUACAUUAAGGUUAAUUUGUUAUUGAAGAAAGAAAAAUAUCUUUUAUAAAUUUAGCGUAGCCUAAACACAACGUCUACAUAAAGUCUACAGAGUCAGGCACAGGAAUGUCCCAGGCCUUCCCAUUCACCUACCUCUCACUCACUGACUCACCCAGAGCAACUUCCAGUCCUACAAGAUCCAUUUACGGUAAGCGCCCUGUACAGGUGUACCUUUUUAAAUCUUUUAUACUUUAUUUUUACUGCAGCUUUUCCAUGUUUAGAUAAACAAAUACCAUUGUGUUACAGUAGUCUACAUUAUUCAGUGCAGUAACAUGCUGUACAGGUUUGUCACAUAGGAACUGUAGCCUAUGUCAUACAGCCUUGGUGCGUAGUAGGCAGUACCUUCUGAGUUUGUGUGAGUAUACUCUAUGAUGUUCAAACCACAACACAAUUGCCUAAGGAUACAUUUCUCAGAAAGUAUCCUUGUCAUUGAAUGACACAUGACUGUAUAUACAUUUUGAUAAAUUGUGUGUGUGUGUGUGUGUGUGUGUGUGUGUGUAGUGGAUUACUUUGUAGUUUAGGUUCAUACGCUGUCAUUUAUUCAUGAUCUAUGUUGGUCUUUUUGCCCAAUCAACUGAAUCUACAGGAGUAGAGGUGUAUCUUCUGUAAGCAAUCAUCUCAAUUUAUGGUUUUAAGUAUUCUUGACAUGCCGUCAGCCUGUAUAACCCAUCAUGGAUUUGUUCCGUCACUCACUAAGUAUGUAUUGAAUGUCUAUGUGUGCAAAGCUAUUUUGCUUGAUUCAGACAAACUGUGAUACUAGAUGACAGCAACUGCUUCCCUAGCAGCCUGAAGCUCAGUUUGUAGGUGCUAGCAACAGAGUGUUCUAGGAUGAAGAAGCAAGAAUCGGGCACAGACCUCUUGGAUGGCCAGUAUGAGAGGAAACUGGUCUUGGAAUAGGCUGCACUUGAUGGUUCAACUGAAGUGUCCUGAGAAGAGUGAUUACCCAUAAAAUUUUCUCAUUGGCUGAAGAACACUGGAUCAGCUUUUCCCUGGACUGGUGCUUUGCUUUUCUGAAUAAACCCAGUGUCUUGGAACAUCCUCA